rnacentral:rRNA from 1 species
UGGGGAAUUUUGCACAAUGGGGGAAACCCUGAUGCAGCGACGCCGCGUGAUUUAGAAGGCCUUCGGGUUGUAAAAAUCUUUUCUAUGGGAAGAAAAUGACAGUACCAUAGGAAUAAGGACCGGCUAAUUACGUGCCAGCAGCCGCGGUAAUACGUAAGGUCCGAGCGUUGUCCGGAAUCAUUGGGCGUAAAGGGUACGUAGGCGGGUAAGCAAGUUAGAAGUGAAAUCCUAUAGCUCAACUAUAGUAAGCUUUUAAAACUGCUUAUCUUGGGGUAUGGAAGGGAAAGUGGAAUUCCUAGUGUAGCGGUGAAAUGCGCAGAUAUUAGGAGGAAUACCGGUGGCGAAGGCGACUUUCUGGCCAUAACCUGACGCUGAGGUACGAAAGCGUGGGUAGCAAACAGG